AUUGAACGCUGGCGGCAGGCUUAACACAUGCAAGUCGAGCGAGCGGCGGACGGGUGAGUAAUGUAUGGGAAACUGCCUGAUGGAGGGGGAUAACUACUGGAAACGGUGGCUAAUACCGCAUACCAUCAGAUGAACCCAUAUGGGAUUAGCUAGUAGGUGGGGUAAUGGCUCACCUAGGCGACGAUCCCUAGCUGGUCUGAGAGGAUGAACAGCCACACUGGAACUGAGACACGGUCCAGACUCCUACGGGAGGCAGCAGUGGGGAAUAUUGCACAAUGGGCGCAAGCCUGAUGCAGCCAUGCCGCGUGUGUGAAGAAGGCCUUAGGGUUGUAAAGUACUUUCAGCGAGGAGGCGUUACCCGCAGAAGAAGCACCGGCUAACUCCGUGCCAGCAGCCGCGGUAAUAC
rnacentral:rRNA from 1 species